rnacentral:rRNA from 1 species
UACGUAGGGGGGCUAGCGUUGUCCGGAUUUAUUGGGCGUAAAGAGCGUGUAGGCGGCCAGGUAGGUCUGCUGUGAAAAACUCGAGGCUCAACCUCGAGACGUCGGCGGAAACCAUCUGGCUAGAGUCCGGAAGAGGAGAGUGGAAUUCCUGGUGUAGCGGUGAAAUGCGCAGAUAUCAGGAAGAACACCCGUGGCGAAGGCGGCCUCUG